UCUCUCCUCUGCAUUGCCGACAACACCAUCACGUCGUCGGCGCUCCAGCGAACCUCACCACACCGCACCCACCAAACCACCUUCAUCCUCCUUACUUCUCUCAAACACACUCUCCCUUUUCUUGAUACUGUGCUCGCUGCACAGAAGCAAAAAUGGCAACCACCGUUGCCAUAUUUCUCGACAAGAUUUCACGACAAGAGAAUCCCUCUCUCUUAUCCUUUCUCUUCAUUUGUGAAAGAUCUUGAAGAUACGGGUUUAUGUUUGUAGGAUUUAAGGAUUGAAACCACGAUAGGGAUACUUUCCCCAGUUUCUAGUGAAGGACCGCGAGGUUGCAGACUUUUUUCCGGCAACGGCGAGAGACCACGAUGGCAUAUUCUUAUUCCUUACGUCUUUAGCUUCAUUUUUGUUUUUGAAUCGUUGAAAACGAUUAAGUUUCAAACCCAAAUCGGAGCUCGGGAAGUUUCCAGGCCAAAUCAUACGAAUCCGGCCUUCUUUUUCGUUAGGUUCGGCAACCUGCAAGCCCAAACGGGCCAACCUAACCCGGUUGAGAAAAAAAGGGCUUAAGCCCAAACCCAGCCCAAAUCUUAUACCCAAACUGUUCUAGCCCGACCCAUUUAUGAAAUAGGCUCAAUGUAGGAAUAUUCUCAAAAUAUUCCUUAUAUUGACUUUUUCGAAAUUUUAUUGGAAACCUUUAUAGGCUAAUUUCAACGUCCCGAGUUCAUUUUUGGUAUCCAUUUAAUUAAUUAUUCCGAAGUUUUAAAAUAGUUGACCGCCUCGGCAACUCAGUUGACUUUUUAGGGUUGAUUGUUGACUUUUUACAAAAUUUGUUCGGGACCAUUCUUAGCGUAUUUCAACGCUCUGAUUCCAAAUCCACACUUCGUUUUCUCAAAUUUAGUCGUUUUAGUUGAGUUUUACUAACGGGCCCAAUGUCAUGUUUAGGUGCGAUUAUUAUCGGUGGCUCCAGCUUUCUUAAUUCGAACGGCUGCGACCUCGCAAGUACUUACGAAUGAGUCUUUUCUUUAUAUAUAUAUAUAUAUAUAGUGUGUGUGUGUGUGUGCGCGUUUGUUAGUUUCCAUUUAUAUAUUUCAUAAAUAAUUUUCUAUGAUACGCCUAGAUAGAAAUCUUGCAAUUAUGCUACGUCAUACGGGAUGCAAAAGUAUGCGUAAUAUUAUUGAAGCCUUAAUUAUCUUUAUGGCUGUGAAUAACAUUAUGGUGAUGUGAAUUAUUGAUUUACCAUUGUAUGGUUUUAUUUAUGCUAUCUGCUCAUCGUCCACUGGUGUUAGUACUCGCUCGGGUCAGGGUCAAGGUUUACGUGUAAGUUCACAUCGCACUAUACGCUCACUUUGGAUCCAUAGUAGGUGCUAGUCCAGUCCUAGAUUGCUAUAGGCAAUUAGGACUCGUAUGAGAUGCGCAUAGUGCCAGUUUUCACGUGAUUGUAAUACUAAAGCGUAAAUAAUUAUUAACCCAGUCCUGUUUAUGUUAGAACAUAUAUGCAUGAACUUAUGUGUUAGCAUAUGUCGAUGAGCACUCGAUAUGAUAUGGUUGCUUAUGCGAGAUUAUGUGAUUUCCGGACGUUAGGUGUUUAUUUACGAAAUGUCUUGACAUAUUGCAUUAUUGAGAUAUUGCUGAUUACAGUAAGUAUUUUCAUACUAUAUGUAGUAUGAAUACUUUGGAAACUAUACUUGUUUUAUAGCGAGAGGUUAGUAUGUUUUCGAAAAGGUUUUAGAAAACUUUAUUUUUAGGCACACUCACUUUUGUUUUUCGCCCCUCCAGGUUUUAGUAGCAAAGCUUUCGUGUCGACGAGGAUUCUUUGCAAAUCUUGGUAUAGGUGGUUAUCUUCGAUGGUGACACCUAUCACAGCUCGAUUCGAAGUCUAAGUGGACAUCACAGCUCGGUUUCGAACCUCCAAAGCCGAAAUCGAAUCAAUAAGGUUCGGUUCGGUUUUUUCUUUUUCGAUUCUUUUUAUUUCAGUUUCGAUUCGGUGUUCGGUCCCUUUUUUUUUCAGUUUUUUAUUUUUUGAACCCACCUCUUGUUAAUCAUUUGAUUAUAAAAUUAAACUACUCUAUUUAUGGUGUAAUAUAGAGUAGAGGCAAUUUAUACAUGAGUCAUUUUAUUUUUUCAUUA